UGCCUAGCAACUCCUAUCCCUACCUCCUCGUGCUACUGGCCGGGGUACGAGUAACCUUAGGGAAGA
rnacentral:ribozyme from 1 species